GGGCCUGUAGCUCAGCAAGGUAGAGCAUCGGCCUUUUAAGCCGUUGGUCAAGGGUUCGAAUCCCUUCAGGCCCGCCA
rnacentral:tRNA from 1 species